rnacentral:misc_RNA from 1 species
UUUCCGUAGGUGAACCUGCGGAAGGAUCAUUCAUAAUAAGUGUUUUAUGGCACUUUUUUAAAUCCAUAUCCACCUUGUGUGCAAUGUCAGGGUUGAUUUUUUUCUCGAGAGGAUCAGCCCCAAACAUCAACUAUAUCUCAACUCUUUGUCUGAAAAAUAUUAUGAAUAAAACAAUUCAAAAUACAACUUUCAACAACGGAUCUCUUGGCUCUC